rnacentral:rRNA from 1 species
AUUGAACGCUGGCGGCAUGCCUUACACAUGCAAGUCGAACGGCAGCGCGGGAGCAAUCCUGGCGGCGAGUGGCGAACGGGUGAGUAAUAUAUCGGAACGUGCCCUGGAGUGGGGGAUAACUAGUCGAAAGACUAGCUAAUACCGCAUACGAUCUACGGAUGAAAGUGGGGGAUCGCAAGACCUCAUGCUCGUGGAGCGGCCGAUAUCUGAUUAGCUAGUUGGUGGGGUAAAGGCCUACCAAGGCGACGAUCAGUAGCUGGUCUGAGAGGACGACCAGCCACACUGGGACUGAGACAAGGCCCAGACGCCUACGGGAGGCAGCAGUGGGGAAUUUUGGACAAUGGGGGCAAGCCUGCUCCAGCAAUGCCGCGUGUGUGAAGAAGGCCUUCGGGUUGUAAAGCACUUUUGUUCGGAAAGAAAUCGUCCUGGCUAAUAUCUGGGAUGGAUGACGGUACCGGAAGAAUAAGCACCGGCUAACUACGUGCCAGCCGCCGCCGUAACAC